GGGGGUGUAUUGUUUCGACGGGGUGGCACAUUAAAAACUGCAAGCCGAACAUGAUUCUAAAGUGCGUUAGUCUUUGAAUCAAAACUAAGUGCAAAAAAUACAUUUGCACGACUUGGAGACGUCCUUUUUGGACGAAACCAAGCAGCUUUUGCAGUUGCCUAAAAACAACGCUUAAGCUUGUUUCAUAAGUCUUUACUCGGUGAGGCUUUUGAGGCAACAACUUAGCCGAGAGUAGACGAGUUACUUCGAUCGGGUAACGAGUUGAAAAAAUUGAUCUUUGUUUAAAUUUAGCCUUUUUGCCGGCUAUAAAUUUGAACGAGACUUUAUAGACAAAAUAAGCUUGUAGAUGUUUUUAAUUUGUUUUCUCGGACAAGGGUUCAUAGCCCUUCACCUCCACCA
rnacentral:tmRNA from 1 species